GGUCUUCCAAAUCCAUUUUGAGAUUUCAAUAACCUCAUAUGGGAUUAGGGGUGUUUAUAAUGUGUCAUGGUUAGGGUUUUGUGGCCUCCUUGUGCAGGAGGUCAGGCUAGAUG